GCUCUAUAUAUUAUGUUGGUAUUACUUAUUUUUGCUGCUAGUAAUAUUUUGGAAGGUUUGUUGGGUGAGUUGCCUAACAAAGACAAAGGCUACCCAUGAUUAUGAUACAUUUAGUAUAAAGUAUGCUAAACAAGUGAUACAUUUAGUAUGAGGUAUGCUAUGGGCUCUUUUUCUUAUUCCUAUAUGAUAUGUUAAAGCCGAUGGGUGCCGAUGGGUUUUACUUGCUAUAUUGUUAUAGUUAUCUACUUAUUUUCCUUAAUGAUG
rnacentral:lncRNA from 1 species